rnacentral:lncRNA from 10 species
ACCCCAUCUCUACUAAAAAUACACAAAAAAAUUAGUUGGGUGUGGUGGUGCGUGCCUGUAAUCCCAGCUACUCAGGAGGCUGAGGCAGGAGAAUUGCUUGAACCCGGGAGGUGGAGGUUGCAGUGAGCCGAGAUCGCUCCACUGCACUCCAGCAGGUGACAGAGUGAGACACCGUCUCAAAAAAAGAAAAAAGAAAAAAAAAAGAUUAGUCAUGAUGUGGGUCAAAAUACCUGUCUUUUCUCUUACACACAUCUUUUUUUAAAAUUUAUUUAUUUAUUUAUUUAUUUAAGACAGGGUUUCUCUCUGUCACCCAGCCUGGAGUGCAGUGGCGCAGUCUUGGCUCACUGCAACCUCCGCCUUCUGGGCUCAAGCGAUCCUCCCACCUCAGCUUCCCAGAUAGCUGGGACUACAAGUGCAUGCCCCCAUGCCCAGCUAAUUUUUUGUGUUUUUAGUAGAGACAGGGUUUUUGCCAUGUUGCCCAGGCUGGUCUUGAACUUCUGGGUUCAAGCAAUCCUCUCACCUCAGCCUCCCAAAGUGCUGGGAUUACAGGUGUUAGCUACUGUACCCAGCCCUUUUUAAAUUUUAUAAGCUAUACCUUUUGAUUACUGCCUAUUGACUUAAAAGACAGUUCCAGAUCAGGGGUUAUAUUUGUGCUUUUACAGUCUGCUUUAUGUUUUGAAGGUUGAGGCAGAAGAGUGGCGUGAACCUGGGAGGCAGAGCUUGCAGUGAGCCGAGAUCAUGCCACUGCACUCUAGCCUGGGCAACAGAGCGAGACUCUGUCUCAGAAAAAAAAAAAAAAAAGAAAGAAAAAAAAGAAUAAAGAAACAUAUGU